rnacentral:lncRNA from 1 species
UGGUUUUAAAGGGAUGAAGCAGAUGAUGUGCUAAUGCUUUUAGGUAUGAGUUUUAAUGAGUUCUUUCUUGGAAAAUGUUAAGAAAAGACAAACAUGGUGGUAUGGUUUGUAAGGUUAUUUAAUGGUGAGUUUUGAUUUUAUAGUAGCAGGAAGUAGACUUUUGUUUUUGUUUUUGUGAAGAAGAGACUAUCAAUGUAGUGUGUAAGGUUGUUGUUUAGCUUGUGUGAGGGAGAGUCCCUAGGGAAAAGGAAGUGAGAGUACUCAACAUGGUUUUUUU